rnacentral:lncRNA from 1 species
CCCCAGGGCAGGGCGGGGCGAUCCCAGCGUGCGGCCCUGAGGCACUGUCCCCACACCGCUCCACACUGUCCCGAAGCCCCCGAGCGCCAGCCCGGACCCCGGGACACGCCCCCCACCACACACACACACACACACACACACACACACACACACACACACUCCCCCCCCGACCCCGGGACACACACCCCCACCCCACCCCCUGCACCCCCGCACCCCCGACCGCUGGGACACCCCCCACACACUCCCCUCCCCUCCAGCAACGCGCGGCGCUCCCAUCCCCCGGCAGCCCACCAGGUGGCGCUCGCUCCCCAUUUCCCCCCCCCCUCCCGCGCCGACGCCCGUGACGUCAGCCGCCCGGCUCCAUUUGAGCGCCUCUCGGCAGCCGAGAACUCGGACUUCCCGUGUGGCUCACAACAUAACUACUCGGCGUUGCUUCUACAGUGGCUGUGGCUCGACCCCUGGCCUGGGAACUUCCAUAUGCCGCAGCCCCGCGGCGGCAGAUGGCACUCGUUCUGCCGCUUUUUCCUGGCUGUGUGCGAUGCCAUCGCAUAGAUGUCCCCGGGUCUGCGAAGUGCACUCACCUGUCAGUGGACCUUUAGGUGGCUUCCAGAUCUUGGCUCUGCCCCGCGGCGGCAGAUGGCACUCGUUCUGCCGCUUUUUCCUGGCUGUGUGCGAUGCCAUCGCAUGGAUGUCCCCGGGCCUUCGAAGUGCACUCACCUGUCAGUGGACCUUUAGGUGGCUUCCAGAUCUUGGCUCUGGUGAGUAGUGCGGCGACAGACAGAGGGGUGCCCGGGUCUGCUUCCGGGAAAGUUUGGUCCCGGUGAAAUGGAGCUGUUUGGAGGCCGGCUUCGGUCUUUGUGUGGGCCGGCCCGUGUAGGGCUGCUUGGCUGAGACUCUGUCGAGGAGGGAGGCCUUCAGCCACCGGGGCCUCACGGGGCCUCCCCGUGCGGCACCAUCACAGAGCUCUCCGUCACUGCCCCUGGUGGGGGUGAGGGAAGGGGCGUGUUUGGGGGGUGGGGUGGGCGGGGUGUGUGCGCGCGCGCGUGCACGCACGCUGGCGGGCGUGGGUGUCCCGGGG